rnacentral:rRNA from 1 species
UACGUAGGGUGCAAGCGUUGUCCGGAAUUAUUGGGCGUAAAGAGCUCGUAGGCGGUUUGUCGCGUCUGCUGUGAAAACUCAGGGCUUAACCCUGAGCCUGCAGUGGGUACGGGCAGACUAGGGUGUGGUAGGGGAGAUCGGAAUUCCUGGUGUAGCGGUGGAAUGCGCAGAUAUCAGGAGGAACACCGGUGGCGAAGGCGGCAUCCUGGACCGACACUGACGCUGAGGAGCGAAAGCCAGGGGAGCAAACGGG